rnacentral:rRNA from 1 species
AAAUGAAUUGACGGGGGCCCGCACAAGCAGUGGAGUAUGUGGUUUAAUUCGACGCAACGCGAAGAACCUUACCAGGGCUUGACAUCCUCAGACCGCGAUAGAGAUAUCGUUUUUCAUGGAGCAAUCCAUGGACUGAGAGACAGGUGGUGCAUGGUUGUCGUCAGCUCGUGUCGUGAGAUGUUGGGUUAAGUCCCGCAACGAGCGCAACCCCUAUUGUCAGUUGCCAUCAUUCAGUUGGGCACUCUGACGAGACCGCCGUUGACAAAACGGAGGAAGGUGGGGAUGAGGUCAAAUCAUCAUGCCCCUUAUGUCCUGGGCUACACACGUACUACAAUGGCAGUCACAACGGGCAGCGACAUCGCGAGAUGAAGCGAAUCCCCAAAGGCUGUCUCAGUUCAGAUUGCAGGCUGCAACUCGCCUGCAUGAAGCAGGAAUUGCUAGUAAUGGCAGGUCAGCAUACUGCCGUGAAUACGUUCCCGGGCCUUGUACACACCGCCCGU